CUGACGACCGGCGCACGGGUGAGUAACGCGUACACGAUCUGCCCUUAAGUGAGGAAUAGCCCUGGGAAACUGGGAUUAAUACCUCAUAUUAUCUUAGAGUGGCAUCGCUCAAAGAUUAAAGCUCCGGCGCUUAAGGAUGAGUGUGCGUCCCAUUAGCUUGUUGGUAAGGUAACGGCUUACCAAGGCAACGAUGGGUAGGGGGCGUGAGAGCGUGAUCCCCCACACGGGUACUGAGACACGGACCCG
rnacentral:rRNA from 1 species